rnacentral:rRNA from 1 species
GACGAACGCUGGCGGCGUGCUUAACACAUGCAAGUCGAACGGAAAGGCCCUGCUUUUGUGGGGUGCUCGAGUGGCGAACGGGUGAGUAACACGUGAGUAACCUGCCCUUGACUUUGGGAUAACUUCAGGAAACUGGGGCUAAUACCGGAUAGGAGCUCCUGCUGCAUGGUGGGGGUUGGAAAGUUUCGGCGGUUGGGGAUGGACUCGCGGCUUAUCAGCUUGUUGGUGGGGUAGUGGCUUACCAAGGCUUUGACGGGUAGCCGGCAUGAGAGGGUGACCGGCCACAUGGGGACUGCGAGACGGCGCAGAAUCCUACGGGAGGCAGCAGGCGGGAACAUUGCACAAUGGGCGGAAGCCUGAUGCAGCAACGCCGCGUGCGGGAUGACGGCCUUCGGGUGGUAAACCGCUGUCGCCUGUGACGAAGCGUGAGUGACGGUAAUGGGUAAAGAAGCACCGGCUAACUACGUG